GGUCAAGUUAUUAAGGGUGCAGGGCGGAUGCCUUGGCACUAGGAGCCGAUGAAGGACGUGAUAAGCUGCGAUAAGCUUCGGGGAGUUGCACGUAAACUUUGAUCCGAAGAUUUCCGAAUGAGGAAACUCACUUAGAGUAAUGUCUAAGUAUCAUUAAGUGAAUACAUAGCUUAAUGAGGGGAACUCAGGGAACUGAAACAUCUAAGUACCUGAAGGAAGAGAAAGAAAUUCGAUUCCGUAAGUAGCGGCGAGCGAACGCGGAUUAGCCCAAACCAAUAAAGUUUUCUUUAUUGGGGUUGCGGACAUAUCAUAACGAAGAGGUAUCGUAAUUGAAGAGGUUUGGAAAGACCCACCACAGAAGGUAAUAGUCCUGUAUGUUAAACGAGAAGACUUCAGAUAUGAUCCAGAGUACCACGGGAC
rnacentral:rRNA from 1 species